rnacentral:rRNA from 1 species
UACGUAGGGUGCGAGCGUUGUCCGGAAUUAUUGGGCGUAAAGAGCUUGUAGGCGGUUUGUCGCGUCUGCCGUGAAAUUUCGAGGCUCAACCUCGAACUUGCGGUGGGUACGGGCAGACUAGAGUGUGGUAGGGGAGACUGGAAUUCCUGGUGUAGCGGUGAAAUGCGCAGAUAUCAGGAGGAACACCGAUGGCGAAGGCAGGUCUCUGGGCCGAUACUGACGCUGAGGAGCGAAAGCGUGGGGAGCGAACAGG